GACGAAGGGGGCUAGCGUUGUUCGGAAUUACUGGGCGUAAAGCGCGUGUAGGCGGUUGUUCAAGUCAGGUGUGAAAGCCUUGAGCUCAACUCAAGAAAUGCACUUGAUACUGGAUGACUAGAGGACCGGAGAGGAUAGUGGAAUUCCCAGUGUAGUGGUGAAAUACGUAGAGAUUGGGAAGAACACCAGUGGCGAAGGCGGCUCACUGGUCCGGUACUGACGCUGAGGUGCGAAAGCUAGGGGAGCAAACAGG
rnacentral:rRNA from 1 species